rnacentral:lncRNA from 1 species
UGUACAGGUAAGUGGUGUCUCAAGUGUCAGGCCAAUCAAAGAUGCCACUUUGUUCAGAAUUACGUUCCCCAGGUAAUGUUGCUGUUCCACUCCAUGUGCAAUUACAGUAUUUGUGCUGUUAAAAAGGCCUGUUCCCAGUAAGUGUCCUUUGUUUGUAUCUUUUAUUUAGCUGAAAUAAUUGCAAUAUUUAAAUUACUUGUGAUGUUCUUCUUUGUCUGUUUCGACAGAGGGUUGCCCUGGCUUGUGCAAUAGCAACGGGAGGUGCACACUGGACCAGAAUGGUUGGCACUGCGUCUGCCAGCCAGGAUGGAGGGGAGCGGGCUGCGACGUGGCCAUGGAAACUCUGUGCACUGACAGUAAGGACAACGAGGGAGAUGGGCUGGUUGACUGUAUGGAUCCUGACUGCUGUUUACAGAGCUCUUGCCAAAAUCAGCCUUACUGUCGUGGGCUACCUGAUCCCCAAGAUAUUAUCAGCCAAAGUCAACAGUCACCGUCUCAGCAAGCUGCCAAAGCAUUUUAUGACCGUAUCAGUUUUCUCAUUGGAGCAGACAGCACUCAUGUCAUACCUGGGGAAAGUCCUUUCAAUAAAAGGUGAGCGUGACUCAUCCUUUACUCAUGCAUACUGAAGCAGUUAAAGAGUAUGUGAGGUGCACAGCAGAAGAUCCAUUGUGAUCAUUGUCUUCACGCAGUGGACUCUCAGCAAAAGCAUUUUGUCCCUAUUUAUCAGAUUACUUGUGUUUAUCUCAUUACCUGCAAAAUUCAGAUUGUCAGUGCCACUGUGUUACUUACCAUACGUGGUACCUGUAUUCUAACCAGGCACUUCAUUAAUGAUUAAAUGGAUUUUUAUUUAACCAGUUGAUUUGGGUUAGCACAGUUGGAAAUGUAUCAAAGCAAUGAAAACACUUCAGAAGGAAAAGCAAAGCUGCACUUUUUAAACUGAGCUCACUAAAUAAUAUAAAUUAUGAAUUAAUGUAAUGGAACUGUUAAGUGCACGACAGUAUAAUUGCAUAAACUAUUUGACUGGUGCUCUGCAAAGCAGUAAUGACCUGAAAAUAAACCAGUAACAGGAAGCAGGUGUCUCAGAUCUCACUGAGUGAAAGAAGAU